rnacentral:snRNA from 1 species
CUACUUCCCCGGCAGGGGUGAUACCACGAUCAUGAAGGUGGUUCUCCCAGGGCAAGAGCUAUCCGUUGCACUCCGGACGUGCUGACCUCUGUGAUUUCCCCAAGUGUGGGAAACUGGACUGCAUCAUUUGUGGUAGUGGGGGAACAAAAAAGCAAAACCGUA